CCCAUCAGAAGGGGAUAACACUUGGAAACAGGUGCUAAUACCGUAUAACACUAUUUUCCGCAUGGAAGAAAGUUGAAAGGCGCUUUUGCGUCACUGAUGGAUGGACCCGCGGUGCAUUAGCUAGUUGGUGAGGUAACGGCUCACCAAGGCAACGAUGCAUAGCCGACCUGAGAGGGUGAUCGGCCA
rnacentral:rRNA from 1 species